rnacentral:ncRNA from 10 species
AACGUUCAUCUUAUUUUAAGACGGAAGUAGGAAGAUACGAUCUGCGUUUACUCUUUCUGAGUGACGCAAGCUUUAGUCGAAAGACUAACAGUCCAUAGAUCUACCGAAGGAACGCGUU